UACGUAGGGGGCAAGCGUUGUCCGGAAUCAUUGGGCGUAAAGCGCGCGUAGGCGGCCCGGUAAGUCCGCUGUAAAAGUCCAGGGCUCAACCCUGGAAAGCCGGUGGAUACUGUCGGGCUAGAGUCCGGAAGAGGCGAGUGGAAUUCCUGGUGUAGCGGUGGAAUGCGCAGAUAUCAGGAAGAACACCCGUGGCUAAGGCGGCUCUCUAGUACGGUACUGACGCUGAGACGCGAAAGCGUGGGGAGCGAACAGG
rnacentral:rRNA from 1 species